rnacentral:misc_RNA from 1 species
GAUGAAGAACGUAGCGAAAUGCGAUACUUGGUGUGAAUUGCAGAAUCCCGUGAACCAUCGAGUCUUUGAACGCAAGUUGCGCCCGAAGCCAUUAGGCCGAGGGCACGCCUGCCUGGGCGUCACACGUCGUUGCCCCCCCAUCUACUCCUUCGGGAUUGCGGGGGGCGGAUGAUGGCCUCCCGUGCGCCUCGUCGCGCGGUUGGCAUAAAUGCCAAGUCCUCGGCGACGCACGCCACGACAAUCGGUGGUUGCGAAACCUCGGUUGCCCGUCGUGUGCGGUCGUCGCGCAUCGAGGGCUCGAAAAAAUGGCCGGGCUCCGGCUCGGCUUUCAACGCGACCCCAGGUCAGGCGGGGUUACCCGCUGAAUUUAAGCAUAUCAAUAAGCGGAGGA